AUUGAACGCUGGCGGCAGGCUUAACACAUGCAAGUCGAGCGGUAACAGAGAGAAGCUUGCUUCUCUGCUGACGAGCGGCGGACGGGUGAGUAAUGCCUAGGAAUCUGCCUAGUAGUGGGGGAUAACUUGCCGAAAGGUAAGCUAAUACCGCAUACGUACUACGGGAGAAAGGAGGGGACCUUCGGGCCUUUCGAUAUUAGAUGAACCUAGGUCGGAUUAGUUAGUUGGUGAGGUAAUGGCUAACCAAGACCGCGAUCCGUAACUGGUCUGAGAGGAUGAUCAGUCACACUGGAACUGAGACACGGUCCAGACUCCUACGGGAGGCAGCAGUGGGGAAUAUUGGACAAUGGGGGGAACCCUGAUCCAGCCAUGCCGCGUGUGUGAAGAAGGUCUUAGGAUUGUAAAGCACUUUAAGUUGGGAGGAAGAGCAGUUAACUAAUAUUUGACUGUUUUGACGUUACCGACAGAAUAAGCACCGGCUAACUUCGUGCCAGCCGCCGCCGUAA
rnacentral:rRNA from 1 species